rfam:Triticum aestivum genome assembly, contig: Triticum_aestivum_CS42_TGACv1_scaffold_344107_4DL
AAAACUAGCCAGUCUUUUGGGUAUGAAACCCAUUUGGGCGAGAGUAGUACUAGGAUGGGUGACCUCCUGGGAAGUCCUCGUGAAAGGGUUC